UUAAAAAUAAUUCUUUUUCCUCUUUUUCAUACAACCUUCACCGCCGGCCAUCGAUUCGCGGCGGCGGAACUAGUGGCCGGCGUUUUCACUUUCAAUCCCUCACCUUCAUCGUUCAGCUUUUUACUGGAACUGGAAGUGACAGUUUCUUUCCUCUCCCUUCUCUCUCUUUCUCUUCUAUUUUCAACCCAAACAAAUACACAAUCAAAACAAUGGACGCAACAGUCGAUCACUACACUGUGCUAGGGUUACCUUCCGGCGAAGAAGGUGCAAACCUAACCGAUAAAGACUUCAACAAAGCCUACAAAUCCAAGGCUCUAAAACUCCACCCCGACAAAAGACGCGGCGACCCCAACGCCGCCUCCAAUUUCCAACAGCUUCGAACCUCCUACGACAUCCUCAAAGAUGAAAAAGCUCGCAAGCUAUUCGACGAUCUUCUUCGCGUCAAACGUGAUAACGAGCGCCGUCAAUCUCAGCGCGACGGAAAGCGCCGCAAAAUGGUUUCCGAUCUUGAACGGAGAGAGCGCGAUGCGUUCUCUCCCGAUCCCGCUGCCAAGGGGAGGGAAGAGGAGGAUAGGAUUGCCAAGCAGCUUAAGGAUGAGAUUGCUCGAAUUCGUGCUCUGCACGCUAAGAAAGCUGUGCCUGGUUUUGAUUCCAAGAAAGAAAAUACUAAUUCAGGUGGUGGUGGCGGUGGUGGGAUUGAUGAAGAGAAGGUUCUGAAAGUUUCGUGGGAGAAAGACGGUGAAGAUUAUUCAGCGGAUAAGUUGAGGGAAUUGUUUUCGAAGUUUGGUGAAGUUGAAGAUGUUAUCAGAAGGAAUAAGAAAAAGUGUUCUGCUUUUGUUGUCAUGGCAACUAAACAAGGAGCUGUUGCUACAAUUGGGAAUGUGAUUGGUCAUCUUGCUAAUCCAUUGUUGGUUUUACCCCUUAAACCUGCAAUGCCUGCAGAAUCAUGGGGUUCUCCAAAAUCUGUCGAACCUGAAGUGCCGAGUAAACUAUUUGGGUCUGGUUAUCAAGCUUUUGAGGAUUCUGUUCUAAUGAAACUGCAAAAGGCUGCAGCAAAGCAAAAGUGAUGGUAAAAAAUGUCAACCACUAAAACGGACUCUUUGGAAUGGUAAUCGCCAAUUCACUGAUUAUAAUUCUUAGGGAAUAUCUGUGGAGGUUCGGCAAGCUGCAGGAUUAUAUCUGAAGAAUAACCUGAGAAAGUGUAUAAUUUAAUGCAGCCUGAACACCAGCAAUAUGUGAAAACAGAGUUGCUUCCUUGUCCUGGUGCAGCAGAUAAACACAUAAGAUCUACUACAGGAACUAUUAUCAGCGUUGUUGUUCAAACCGGAGGAGUUUCACACUGGCCCGAAUUAUUGCAAGCCCUUGUAAAUUGCUUGGACAGCAAUGAUCUAAAUCACAUCACAUGGACGGGGUUAUUUAAUAAAACAUUGUUAUAUGUGCUGCCCACAUAUACUGAAUGAUCAUAGGAUGGUGCUGGUACACAUUUACUGAUUUACUGUCACAGCUGCCAUCUCCCAUCUGUUUCACUGUAUUUAAGUAUCCUCUUCCCAAACGUCAUAACUGACAUACUCAUAACCGAUAUCCUGAUUUCCUCUACCCCCUGUACUACUACUAUUUAAUUUCUCUUCCUUCCAGAAUAAACUUUCAAUGGUGGACACUCCAUUCCUAACAAUAUCUCCCCCUGGGGACCUCAACCUUGUCCUCAUAGUUGAGCUAAAUUGGAGAUCCUAGAUGUGGCUUGAUCCAUAGGUUUAUUCUUCCACUUGAUUUUUACUUGAUUCACCUGGAUUGUCCCUUGGGAAAUAGUUGCUUUUUUCCAAUAGCUUGUUGGGCGCCCCUUCUGCCUCACUCUGCAACUCUGGUAGAUGGAUUUUUUGCUACACAGGAUGUUUUCCUUGUGCAUUCUUUAGCCAUGGCACAUGAAAAUCGGGAUUAAUUCUGGCUUAUUUAGGAGGCUGAAGCUGAAAUGCAACUGGUCCCAUUUACACAACACCUUAGCCACAGGAAACAGCCUACAUUAUGGCCCAGCCAAUUUGGGAUGUAACUUAUUUACUUCUUAAAAGCAAUUAUUGUUGUGCAUAGCUCACUUUCUGCCAAUCUUAUGGUUGUAUGGUAUAUAAUUUGAUGCGAUACUGUUUUUCUAUAGUUCGCCAAGAUUAAAUUUAAAUAUUAUUGGGUUAAUGUGAUACGCAUACGCUACAUUUUA